UGAAUUAAUGUCUACUCUUCAGUGAUUAUCCUAAAUCCUAUUCUUCUUUCCUUAUACAGUCAGGCAAUGUGAUGGAAAAUAAACAGACAGAGGCCAUUUUCAACUCCCAAUAUAAGCAGAGGAACUUCAUGUACACUUAUGGCAUAUUCGUUUUUCUGUAGGUAUAUUUCAAUAAAUGUCUUUAAAAAUUUUUUAAAGAACCUCAGGUAUAAAGAGAAAACCUCUUUGACCAUGCUGUAUUUUGUUUUUGUCUGUUUUUUUAAAAAAAUUAAUUUAUUUU